AUUGAACGCUGGCGGCAGGCCUAACACAUGCAAGUCGAACGAGUGGCGGACGGGUGAGUAAUGUCUGGGAAACUGCCUGAUGGAGGGGGAUAACUACUGGAAACGGUAGCUAAUACCGCAUACCAUCAGAUGUGCCCCGAUGGGAUUGGCUAGUUGGUGGGGGAACGGCUCACCAAGGCGACGAUCCCUAGCUGGUCUGAGAGGAUGACCAGCCACACUGGAACUGAGACACGGUCCAGACUCCGACGGGAGGCAGCAGGGGGGAAUAUUGCAGAAUGGGCGAAAGCCUGAUGCAGCCAUGCCGCGUGUAUGAAGAAGGCCUUCGGGUUGGAAAGUACGUUCAGCGGGGAGGCGUUACCCGCAGAAGAAGCACCGGCUAACUCCGUGCCAGCCGCAGCGGUAAUUC
rnacentral:rRNA from 1 species